GCUGAGAGGCUGCGGUGGGAACCUGAGGGUGACACAAGGAGGCUGAGAGGCAGGGGCUGUCCUGAGGGACAAAGUGGGGGGUGCCUGAGGGUGACAGGUGAACCAGCCCUCACAGCACCCUUAACCUCACCCUUUAGUACAGGAUCUGUGAGCUGUGAACAAGGUAACUGAGGAUCUGUAUCCUGUGGUGGCCAAUCCUACACGUUAUUAAUUUGCUUAACACCCAAACUAACUUGGUUUACUGUUUUAGAUUUAAAAGAUGCCUUCUUUUGCCUUCCUAUCCAUGAAGCCAGCCAGAAAAUUUUGCAUUUGAAUAGGAAAGUCCUAAAAGCGGGUGAAGAACUCAACUUACAUGGACCAGAUUUCCACAAGGAUUUAAAAAAAAAAAAAAAAAACAAAAAACAACCUCACCCACUCUGUUUGGAGAAUAACUUGCAAAGGAAUUAGAGACCUGAGAAGCCCCUCCAGAGGAAGGGAAGCUGCUACAGCAUGUAGAUGACAUCCUGAUAGCCACACAGACAAGGGAAGCAUGCGUGGCCUGAACGGUAAGCCUCUUGAACUUUUUGGGGCUCCAAGGGUACCAAGUAUCAAAGAAGGGGACCCUAAAACUUCUGCUGGAUUGAGGGAUAAGUGUGCCCGAGAGCAUCCAGGAUUCAAACCUGCUGGGUUGAGGGAUUAACAUUCCAAGAGCAUCCAAGGUUGAGCAAAAUUCUGCCAGAUUGAGAAUAUGCCCAAGAGCAUCCAGAGUUAGACAACACAGCUGGAUUGAGGGAUAUCCAAGAGCACCAGGGCUGGCCAGUAACACCUAAAAGUGUAAUAGGUAAAUUGAUCUAGGUUACGAAGUCAGUGCUGGACAACGUACCCUGGGCCAAAGCCAGAAGGAGGCAAUAUGCCAGACCCCAAAACCUCAGACUGUAAAAGAACUUUCCUAGGGAUGACAGGGUGGGGCAAGUUAUGGCUCUAUUAACUACAGACUAUCUGUUAAAGCAAGGACAUCCAAUGGACAAAAGAAUCUACGCCGGCUUUCAACCAAUGGAAAAAAGCCCUCAUGUCAGCUCCAGCCCUGAGAUUGCUGGACGUGAGUAAGCCUUUCCUUUUAUUCUCCCAUGAGAAGCAAGGAAUCGCCUUAGGAAUACUAGCACAGGACCUCGGCCCAUAUCGGAGAGCAGUGGCUUACUUCUCUAAGCAAUUGGAUACAGCAGCUAAAGGGUGGCCUGGGUGCCUCAGAGCUGUUGCAGCAGUCGUACUGAACAUCCAAGAGGCACACAAAUUCACCCUAGGCCAGAAAAGAACUGUGCUAGUGUCUCACACAGUGUCUGCAGUGCUGGAGGUAAAAGGUGGGCAUUGGCUUUCCCCACAACAGUUCCUGAGAUACCAAGCUAUUAUAGCAGAGUAAGAUGAUGUGGAGAUGGUGACUAACAUUGUCAAUCCAGCCUCCUUCCUCAGUGAACACCAAGGGGAACCAGUGGAACACCUGGAGACAAUCGAGGCCACCUAUUCCGGCUGCCCUGACUUGAAGGACACCCCUCUCGAGAAUGCAGAAGUCUGGUUUAUUGAUGGAAGCAGUUAUAUCAUCAGUGGAAAACGACACACCGGGUACACAAUUACUACCUGCAAGGAGGUAAUAGAAUCUGGGCCCCUGCCAACAAAUACCUCUGCGCAAAAGACUGAAAUAAAAAGAUAAAUUCAGAAUUGGAAGAAGAGAACGAGCUGGCAGAUAGGGAAGCAAAAGAAGCAGCAAAAAUUGAGGUAAUAACUGAGGCAGCCCUGAUCCCAGAUGGGCAAAUUUCCCUCCAAGGAUGGCCAGAAGCAUUCCCCACCAGGACUUCUAAAGCUUGGGAAGUAACUAAGGUAUUGGUACAGGAAAUCAUACCACGCUUUGGAGUCCCGACCACAAUCUCCUCAGACAGAGGACCACAUUUUAUCGCAAAAUUGGUGCAACAGGUUAGCCAAUACUUGGGCAUAGACUGAGAACUUCACACCCCAUAUAACCCACAAUCAAGUGGUCAAGUAGAAAAAGUAAAUCAUUUGAUCAAACAACAAAUUGUACGAUUGGGACAAGAGGCUAAUUUGUCAUGGACUCAAUCCCUCCCAUUAGCACUAGUGCGGAUUCAAACCAAACCCAGGACUAAAGAAAAGCUGAGCCCCUUUGAAUUGCUUUAUGGGAGAGCAUAUGGGGUGCAGAAGGGAAUGUCUACCCAAGACAGACGUGUGUCACUAACCUCCUAUGUGUUAAGUCUUUUACAAAAAGGCCCUAGAACCACAAUGAGAGAGACCGCGCCCAGUGCCCCUUACUUACUUUGUGUAGUCAGCACCAAUCGUAUCCCACUAGCUAAUAAACACAAGUCAUAACUAGUGAAAUGCACUGUUUAGAACACUUUAUGUCACCCCAUUAUAGCUUUAUUAACUUUAGUUACUAUAAGUUUAAUGGUGUCUAUUUUAACACUCAUGUAAAAUUAAAAGAUGUUAAAAUGCGUAAGCAUUCUGACUUCACUCUCUAGAACUCAUAGAAUCCUGCUGAAGGAGAACUGUCAUGAUGGUAGGUCAGAAUUUAAACCAGGACCCCUGUAGUAAAAGAAUUUACUAUAUUUUAAGAAAAGGGGGGACUGAAAUAGAGAUUUUUGGAGUUCACUUAAGUUAACAAAAUGAAUUAAGCAUUUAUAUUUUAGCUUGUAGAGUUAUGUGUUGAAUUUUAACCUUUUACUUAAGAAACCUUUGCCUGGUACAAAGGGCAUAGGAAAAUGCAAAUUUCUGAAGCUUCUUGCAUAAAGAACAAUACUGGAGGGGACCGAGGAUGCAAAGAACUCAGAUAAAGAAGCUCCCUUGUCUCCAAGCCUAUCAAGACUGACAGACGUACUCAGAUAAGCACCAAAGGACCAAAAGCGCACGCGCAGAGAGGAAAAGUUCAAAAGUUCAGUCAUGAGGAAGACCACGAUCUUCAGCCUCAGGACCACCAAGAGACCCCCGUACGACCACCACAGCAAACCACGCGUGCCCAGAAGGGCGUGGACUUAUUUAGCAUGAGAAGCGAGGACAGGCGGGGCCAGGCGGGGUUGAAUAUGCAUGAAAAAGUUGUACAAUGUAUUGCAUAUGGAACAUCUUUGGGAAUAAAGGUGUGGGUCAGACUGAGGCUCGGGGCACAAGUUUUUGGAGCAAUAUCUCACUUGUGCCGGGCGCUGACAUACAGACCCACUUCAUAACUAC